UUUUUGAAUUAAUUUAAAGUCCAAUCUGCCCACUGAUUAUAAAUUAAAGGGCUGCAGUAAUUUGACUGUACAAAGGUAGCAUAAUCAUUAGUCUUUUAAUUGAAGACUUGUAUGAAUGAUUUGAUGAGAUAUAAACUGUCUCUUAUUUAUAUUUAAAAUUUAAUUUUUUAGUUAAAAAGCUAAAAUACUUUUAAAAGACGAGAAGACCCUAUAGAGUUUUAUAAAUUUAUUAAUAAAAUAUUUAUAUAAAAUUUUAAUAUUUUAUUAAUAAAUUUAUUUUGUUGGGGUGAUAGAAAAAUAAAAAUAACUUUUUUUAAAAAUUAACAAAUAUAAUUGAGUAAAUGAUCCAAAAUAUUGAUUGAAAGAAAAAAUUACCUUAGGGAUAACAGCGUAAUAUUUUUUUUUAGUACGAAUAAAAAAAAAAGUUUGCGACCUCGAUGUUGGAUUAAGAUAAAAUUAAAUGCAAAAGUUAAA
rnacentral:rRNA from 1 species